rnacentral:rRNA from 1 species
GAUGAACGCUGGCGGCGUGCCUAAUACAUGCAAGUCGAGCGAACGGACGAGAAGCUUGCUUCUCUGAUGUUAGCGGCGGACGGGUGAGUAACACGUGGAUAACCUACCUAUAAGACUGGGAUAACUUCGGGAAACCGGAGCUAAUACCGGAUAAUAUUUUGAACCGCAUGGUUCAAAAGUGAAAGACGGUCUUGCUGUCACUUAUAGAUGGAUCCGCGCUGCAUUAGAUAGUUGGUAAGGUAACGGCUUACCAAGGCAACGAUGCAUAGCCGACCGGAGAGGGUGAUCGGCCACACUGGAGCUGAGCCACGGUCCAGACUCCUAAGGGAGGCAGCAGUAGGGAAUCUUCCGCAAUAGGCGAGAGCCUGACGGAGCAACGCCGCGUGAGUGAUGAAGGUCUUCGGAUCGUAAAACUCUGUUAUUAGGGAAGAACAUAUGUGUAAGUAACUGUGCACAGCUUGACGGUACCUAAUCAGAAAGCCACGGCUAACUACGUG